AUGGACAACAGGCUUGGUUCCACUCUCCUGCUGCUGACGGUCCCUUCCUGGUUUCUGUCCCAGGUCACCCUGGAGGAGUCCGAUCCUGGGCUGCUGAAACCCACCCAGACCCUGUCGCUGACCUGCACCUUAUCAGGGUUAUCACUGAACACUAAAAACAAUGGUGUCAGCUGGAUCCACCAGCCUCCAGGGAAGGCACUGGAGUGGCUCACAGACAUCUGGUGGGAUAAUAGUAAAUAUUACAACCCAUCUCUGAAGAGCUGGCUCACAGUCUCGAAAGACACCUCCCAAAACCAAGUGUUUCUAACUCUGAGCCACACGGACCCUGCAGACACAGCCAUGUAUUACUGCCCACGUGGAGCACAGAGGCACAGCUCAGGGGACCUUCUGGAAAAAAACCCGGGCUGA